rnacentral:rRNA from 1 species
UACGAAGGGGGCUAGCGUUGCUCGGAAUCACUGGGCGUAAAGCGCACGUAGGCGGAUUGCCAAGUCAGGGGUGAAAUCCUGGAGCUCAACUCCAGAACUGCCCUUGAUACUGGCGGUCUCGAGUCCGGGAGAGGUGAGUGGAACUGCGAGUGUAGAGGUGAAAUUCGUAGAUAUUCGCAAGAACACCAGUGGCGAAGGCGGCUCACUGGCCCGGUACUGACGCUGAGGUGCGAAAGCGUGGGGAGCAAACAGG